rnacentral:tRNA from 1 species
GAUCUUUUCGUAUAACGGUUAGUACGUCUCCCCUUCAAGGAGAAAACAUUAGUUCAACUCUAAUAAAGAUCA